rnacentral:rRNA from 1 species
UACGAAGGGGGCUAGCGUUGCUCGGAAUCACUGGGCGUAAAGGGUGCGUAGGCGGGUCUUUUAAGUCAGGGGUGAAAUCCUGGAGCUCAACUCCAGAACUGCCUUUGAUACUGAAGAUCUCGAGUUCGGGAGAGGUGAGUGGAACUGCGAGUGUAGAGGUGAAAUUCGUAGAUAUUCGCAAGAACACCAGUGGCGAAGGCGGCUCACUGGCCCGAUACUGACGCUGAGGCACGAAAGCGUGGGGAGCGAUCCGG